UGCGUAGGCGUUCGGGUAAGUCUGACGUGAAAUCUUCAAGCUUAACUUGGAAACUGCGUCGGAUACUAUUCGGCUAGAGGAAUGGAGGGGAGACUGGAAUACUUGGUGUAGCAGUGAAAUGCGUAGAUAUCAAGUGGAACACCAGUGGCGAAGGCGAGUCUCUGGACAUUUCCUGACGCUGAGGCAAGCCAGGGGAGCGAAACG
rnacentral:rRNA from 1 species